GUGGGGAAUAUUGGACAAUGGGCGCAAGCCUGAUCCAGCCAUGCCGCGUGAGUGAUGAAGGCCUUAGGGUUGUAAAGCUCUUUCACCGAUGAAGAUAAUGACGGUAGUCGGAGAAGAAGCCCCGGCUAACUUCGUGCCAGCAGCCGCGGUAAUACGAAGGGGGCUAGCGUUGUUCGGAUUUACUGGGCGUAAAGCGCACGUAGGCGGAUUGGUCAGUUAGAGGUGAAAUCCUGGAGCUCAACUCCAGAACUGCCUUUAAUACUGCCAGUCUAGAGUCCAGAAGAGGUGAGUGGAACUCCUAGUGUAGAGGUGGAAUUCGUAGAUAUUAGGAAGAACACCAGUGGCGAAGGCGGCUCACUGGUCUGGUACUGACGCUGAGGUGCGAAAGCGUGGGGAGCAAACAGGAUUAGAAACCCGGGUAGUCC
rnacentral:rRNA from 1 species